CGUACAGGCGGUCUUGCAAGUCAGGGGUGAAAUGUCCCGGCUCAACCGGGGACCUGCCCUUGAAACUGCAGGACUUGAGGUCGUGAGAGGAGACUGGAAUUCCUAGUGUAGCGGUGAAAUGCAUAGAUAUUAGGAAGAACACCAGUGGCGAAGGCGAGUCUCUGGCACGCACCUGACGCUGACGCGCGAAAGCUAGGGGAGCGAACG
rnacentral:rRNA from 1 species